UUUACAGAAGUAACUUAGCAUACCCAAAUGUCUAAGUACACAACUGUUAUGCUGCUGGAAGUGGCAAGAGAAAACAAUCCAGGUAGAAAUGAACAGGAAAAGAUGUUUAGGUUCCCUGUUCUGUGAAGAGUAAUGUAGGGAAAUGAAAGUGAACUGGAGAGGAAGAGAAAUGGGAGCUGAAGAAACAGCCAAGAAUCAGGAAGAGAGAUUGCAAAACAUGCCCCCUUUAGCCCCAAGUGCAUUUGCAUUUGCCUCUUUCUCUGCCUUUUGGUUGUUUGGAGGUGCCAGGCAUGCGUUGCCACAUGGCACACCCUCGACCUCUCCUGGUCACACUCUGUCAUGAGUCACAACCUUGAGUCCUGUGGAAACAGCAAAGAGCUGGGCUCUCGGGGAGGAAGACAGUGCCUGACCCAGUGUCCACUACUUCAAGAAAUGGGCAUAAGGUGGCAGCACUGGUAGUGCCUGCAGGUGUUGUGGAGAGAAACUUGGCCAAGGGCCAGCUGUACUUGAGCUGCUAAGUCCCAGGGAAAAGAUGGAAAAGGGGAACUCUGUUAAAGACCUCCUUAUUAGGGUAGUAAGUGAUGGAAGGAAAAAGGCUUCUCCUGGGGAAGCAGUGGCACCAGGAGCUCCACUAGGAGGAAUGCGUGAUGAGGUCACAUUGCCUGGCACCCAUACGUCUGUUAAAAGAAUAACUGCCACUUAUGAGGAAGGAUUAAGACGGACUGAUGAACAACAUGGAUGAAUCUUGAAAACAUGGUACAGCAGGCAAGUUCUUCUAAUGCUUGGCCCUCAGGGAAGCCUACAGAGAGAGGCAAUUCGGAAAACCCUGUUUUGGAACAGAGCUGCUCCUCAAUAGCUCCGCAUGGAAGAGGAAUUCCUGCCACAAAUGACAAGACAUCACAGGCACACAGCUUGGACUAGAGUGAGGACUGCUGCUUCUUCCUUCUUGUGGUGCUCUGACCUGGGAGGCCCAUGGACUACAGUAUUAGGCAAGCACCCAGGUGCCUUGUUCCUCCAUGUUAUACUUGGGCUGCAGUCUGAAUGUUGUAGACUUGCAAGGGACUGCCCAAUGUAUUUGCUUCCUUUUGUUUUUAUAGUCUUUCGACUUUUAGGCUGACUUUAUCUCCUUGAUUUUCCUAGUUUCUGGAAGAAUAUGUAGCAAAUACUAAUUGUCACUGGCAAGUUCCCGGCAUACAGCAUUAGUGAAAUUCAUUUCUUCCUUCUUGUUAAAUCAUUCUUGUGUUUAAAAAAAAUUUUUUUUAACACUUUUGUAAAUUUAACCCCUUGCCAACACCUUUCUGUCACUGUGUACUCAGCAUUAGCUAUAUGAAGGCCUAAGCAGUAUGGAGACUUAAGAACUUGUUUUCUUCUCUAUUUGUUUUUUAAAUUAUAGAAGACUCUAAUGCUGUCAGCUGGUAAAUGUUUAGAAUUUAAGGUAAACAUCACUCUAACUUUUGUAAACACUGUAAUAGAAAACUGGUUUUAGAGAUGCAAAAACAAAUCAAAAAUUUUGUUUUAUGGAGAAUUGUGUUGAAGACAUAUUUUGAAAUUUGAAGAAGGAAACAAGAGGUUCUAUGUCUUCAGUGCAGCUUUGAAUAUUUAGGAUUUCUUCUGUUAACUGUUCUGUUUUGUGUCACUACUGCAUGAGGGCCUCAGAAAGGCUGGACUGGAAACACCAGCCCCCUGAAAGGGACAGUCACGUGUUCAUGGAGUGAGGAAGUGCUAGCUGCUGGCUGGGGACUUCCCAGGUCACUAAUUUUGAAAAACCCCCUAAACACUGAUCUUAAAGAUCCAAUUCUUCUAUUCAACAGCAAGGAUCAAAAUGUUGGAAGGCUGUAUCCUGUUUCCUCAUCUAGCACCAGGAUUCUGGUGAAGAGUUGCAAUGGAGUGGACUCUAAGUCGGCUUGUUCUUUCCUUUCUUAUUCGACCAAUUAAGGACAUUAUUUCAUUUGGUGCGUCUUAGCCAUUCAUUUUGGUGGACAGUUGUUUCUCUUGUUAUAAAGACCAAUGACCAUUCUAAACCCAGAGUCAGCCAAAUAGGUAAAACAAAUAUCGCAUAAUUCCACAUAGCUGCCUUAGGAGGACUGAGUUCUAGUCUAUGCAGGAAUCCCUGGCAUGAGCACUGUUAUGUACAGAAGCCUGAGCUUAGAGAGCAGCCAGUGUGGCAUAGAUUGUGACUUGUGGACAUUUUUGUGCCAUUUAGUCCAAGUACAAUUACCCAUCAUGAGAGCCUAUGUGACACAAACAGAAAGAGAGUAGGAGAAGAUGAACAGGAGGAAAGAAGUUAUCUUAAUUCUAUUCUCCCCAAGGGGAGAAAAUGACUAAAAUAUAACCUGAGUGUAAGAGCAUUAGUAAUAUUAAUAAUAAUAUCUUUGAUAAUUAGGCCACUGAUCUCAAAGUACUUUUAUUUAUUUAUUUAUUUUAAAUUUAUUUAUUUAUUUUUGGCUGCAUUGGGUCUUCGUUGCUGCGUGCGGGCUCUCUCUGGUUGCGGCGAGUGGGGGCCACUCUUCAUUGUGGUGCACGGGCUUCUCACUGUGGGCUUCUCGCUGUGGUGGCUUCUUUUGUUGUGGAGCAUGGGCUCCAGGCUUGUGGGCUUCAUUAGCUGCAGCACACAGGCUCAGUAGUUGUGGCUCGCAGGCUCCAGAGCGCAGGCUCAGUAGUUGUGGCGCACGGGCUCAGUUGUUCCGCAGCAUGUGGGAUCUUCCCGGACCAGGACUUGAACCCGUGUCCCCUGCACUGGCAGGUGGAUUCCCAACCACUGCACCACCACCAGGGAAGCCCUCAAGUACUUUUUUUUUUUUUUGCAGUGCGUGGGCCUCUCACUGUUGUGGCCUCUCCCAUUGCGGAGCACAGGCUCCGGACACGCAGGCUCAGCGGCCAUGGCCCACGGGCCCAGGCUCUCCGCGGCAUGUGGGAUCUUCCCGGACCGGGGCAUGAACCGGUGUCCCCUGCAUCAGCAGGCGGGCUCUCAACCACUGCGCCACCAGGGAAGCACCCCUCAAGCCACACCUUGCAGCAUGAAGGAUCUUAGCACCCCGACCAGGGACAAAACCUUUGCCCCCUGCAGUGGAAGCACAGAGUCCUAACCACUGGACCACCAGGGAAUUCCCUAGAAGUAAAAACUUUAAAUAAAAUAGAGGGCUUCCCUGGUGGCACAGUGGUUAAGAAUGGCCUGACAAUUCAGGGGACAUGGGUUCGAUCCCUGGUCCGGGAAGAUCCCACAUGCUGUGGAGCAGCUAAGCCUGUGCACCACAACUACUGAGCCUGCGUUCUAGAGCCUGUGAGCCAUAACUACUGAAGCCCACACGCCUAGAGCCCGUGCUCCACAACAAGAGAAGCCACUGCAAUGAGAAGCCUGCGCACUGCAACGGAGAGUAGUUCCCGCUCACAGCAACCAGAGAAAGCCCGCGCACGGCGACGAAGACCCAACGCAGCCAAAAAUAGAUAAAUAGAUUAAAAAUAAAAAAGAAAAUGUUUCUUGUAUUGUUCCUGUUAAGCAUUUCUCAUAUUUUGGCAUCACACACCAAAACAUGAUGUCAGAGGUGUGGGGUGGGGGGGGAGCAGGUAGAGGUGAGGGAAAGACCAGGUUAGAUAGUACAAUGUGUGCAGUGGUGAAGAAUUGACUAAAUUUAAUUAAUCUUCAAUUAGCAGAUCACUGAGGAUAUGAAUCACUCACUGGCAGUCAAAAGGUGAUGUCAGUGAAUGGUUAUGGCUCAGCAUGACUGCUUCUGUUUGCUCCUGUAUUUACUCCUAGCACUAUUGCUACUGCAGGGCUCUCCUAUGAAUUUUUUUUUUUUUUUUUUUUGCGGUACGCGGGCCUCUCCUGUGAAUUUUAUUGUGGGACUUUAGAAAUGUCUACAGCCAAGGGUAGCAUUAAUAAGUACUCCAGUUGAUAGUUAGAGCAAGGAACAAGUUUCUUAAUAAAGUUUAUAAAUAUGGCUUUGGACUGAUCUUAUUGGCAAUAGUCAUACUAUUAAUUUCUAGCUGAAAGAAUCACAUGCUCACAGGAGUACUGAGCCUAAGUAGAAGACUCAUUUUGGUGGAAAUUGGGUUAGAACAGCACAUGCAACUCAAGGAUUGCUGAAGAAGGGCAGGUGCAUAAAGUUGCUUCAUCAUGAAAGGUGAAUAUUCAACGUGGAGACUGAGCGCCCUUGGUUAAGUUUAUAAAACAGUUUCUGCCUAAACUCUCUGUAAUAGUUACCAAUUGUGCUAAUAAUGGAUUACAAAAAUCCUCAGUAGCCAAUCAGGUUGCGACCUCCUUACUUCUAAGCAUCUUCCUAGAGAAUAUCUUAUGAAGGUUAUGUAGUAUCUCAAUUCUCCUAUGAUUGCAUCUUGGAAACACUGGCUGCUAGUUCAUAAAAAACCAGAGAGUAUGUACAGAGUCAACUAGAAUCCUUCUUUUCUAGAUACUUUGGACUUCCAACUUUAGCUGGGCUAAAGUGGAACGACAUGAGCCAUGAACUCCAGGGUUUUCUGGACAGAGUGCCAUAUUUUUAAGUAACCAUGAUUGACGGUUAUGGGAAAAAAAAUACUUAAAUGGGCUCUUGGACUUUGUUCUGAGGUCAAAAGGGACCGCAUUAAAAAAUGUGUAUUCUAUAUCCUGAUCUUGGUGUUUGACACAAAAAUAGUACCUAAUGUUGUGUGAUAUUGUGUAUUCUUUUGUUUGAACAUAGUUUGUAGAUGGACUCUAUUAAUGAAAACACACUGUGGUGGAGAGGAAUGUGUGUGUGUGUGUGUUUCAGUGCUGUUUUUAUUUAUUUUUAUUUUUAUUUUUUUUGCGGUACGCGGGCCUCUCACUGUUGUGGCCUCUCCCGUUGCAGAGCACAGGCUCCGAUGUUCAGGCUCAGCGGGCAUGGCUCACGGGCCCAGCCGCUCCGCGGCAUGUGGGAUCUUGCCAGACCGGGUCACGAACCCGUGUCCCCCGCAUCGGCAGGCGGACUCUCAACCACUGCGCCACCAGGGAAGCCCUCAGUGCUGUUUUUAAAUGGCCUGUUGGGUAGGUUUGAUGAAAUGUGUUAGGUUAUUUCACCUUUGUCUCCUGUUCUCUCCCUCCACCGUAAGACUGGAAGAACAACACACUUAUACCCAAGCCUCCAGUAGUCUCUUUGGAAGGGUAGGCCAAUUAGAACCAAACUGCUUGUCCCCACCCCCAGCCACUCUGGUAGGUUCUGAAUCCAGUUUCAGUGUUGUUAAAUUUCAGGGCAGAAAGUGAUAAUUUGGAAAAGUGCCAAAACCCACUGUAAUUUUUCCUGGCAGCUUUCCCUUGGUGUCAUUGGUAAGUUCUGCAUUUCACUGGAGUACCGCACCACUACUACUACAGUACCUCGCAGCAGACUUUUUCAUUUGGUCCACUUUUAUCUUUGGAAGAAGCCGUUUUUCAGUAGGGAUAGACGGAUUUACACUCUAUUAAAGCUAGUCAGAAUGCUUUCCCUUAAGGGUCAUUCACUUCCUGCCUUAUGCUUAAUAAGUUCCCUUGGAUUUUCCUUGAUGCUUACAUAAAAAGCCUGGGAUGAUCA